rnacentral:tRNA from 1 species
GGAAAGUUGGCCGAGUGGUUUAAGGCGGCAGUCUUGAAAACUGUUGAGGUGAAAGCCUCCGGGGGUUCGAAUCCCUCACUUUCCG